rnacentral:rRNA from 1 species
CUGCAUGGCUGUCGUCAGCUCGUGUCGUGAGAUGUUCGGUUAAGUCCGCUAACGAGCGCAACCCUCGCUGUGUGUUACAAGUGUCACACGGAACUGCCGGGUCAUAAACCGGAGGAAGGUGGGGAUGACGUCAAGUCAGCAUGGCCUUUAUAUCCUGGGCUACACACACGCUACAAUGGGAAGGGACAAUAGGUUGCGAAACCGCGAGGUGGAGCCAAUCCAGCAAAACUUCCCUCAGUUCAGAUUGCAGGCUGCAACUCGCCUGCAUGAAGUUGGAGUUGCUAGUAAACGCAGGUCAGCCAUACUGCGUUGAAUACGUUCCCGGGGCUU